CAGGGAGACAACAAAAUGUUAAAUAUUAAUUUUGUCACCUUAGGUCGAUCGGUAUCUCACAUUUUUAAUUUAUUAAGAAUUUUAUUUCCUAAGUUUUUUCUAGGUCACACCCAUUAUUUUUCCUGGGCCAUUAGCUCAGGUGGUUAGAGCGCACCCCUGAUAAGGGUGAGGUCCCUGGUUCAAGUCCAGGAUGGCCCAUCUCUCUAUGUUGGGGGUAUAGCUCAGUUGGUAGAGCGCCUGCUUUGCAAGCAGGAUGUCAGCGGUUCGAGUCCGCUUACCUCCACUGAUUACCACCUCUUCCAUAAUUUUUAGAAGGGAAAUUUUUUGAGCUGUGAUCAAAUUCUGAACGAAUCUAGCUUCCUAAUGAAAGCAUUAAGAUGCUGGACUCAUUGAAUUAAUUUCAUUGUUUUCAGAGAACCUUGACAACUGCAUAGAUUAUUUUUUUAAAGACAAUAAGCAUCUUUAAUGAUGCAGAUUUAUUAUUUGUGCGAAUGCAUUAAUAACAAUUCUAUUAAGCUGAUGCUUCAAUUUUGAAGUUAUU
rnacentral:tRNA from 1 species